GAUGAACGCUAGCGGCAGGCAACACAUGCAAGUCGAGGGGUAACAGGAGAAAGCUUGCUUUCUUGCUGACGACCGGCGCACGGGUGCGUAACGCGUAUAGAACCUACCUUUUACAGAGGGAUAGUCCGAAGAAAUUUGGCAUAAUACCUCAUAGUAUUAUCGAUUGGCAUCGAUUGAUAAUUAAAGAUUUAUCGGUAAAAGAUGGCUAUGCGUCCUAUUAGCUAGUUGGUACGGUAACGGCGUACCAAGGCAACGAUAGGUAGGGGUUCUGAGAGGGAUAUCCCCCACACUGGUACUGAGACACGGACCAGACUCCUACGGGAGGCAGCAGUGAGGAAUAUUGGACAAUGGUGGCAACACUGAUCCAGCCAUGCCGCGUGCAGGAAGACGGCCUUAUGGGUUGUAAACUGCUUUUAUAUGGGAAGAACCGCUGGUACGUGUACUAGUCUGACGGUACCAUAUGAAUAAGCACCGGCUAACUCCGUGCCAGCAGCCGCGGUAAUACGGAGGGUGCAAGCGUUAUCCGGAAUCAUUGGGUUUAAAGGGUCCGUAGGCGGGUUAAUAAGUCAGGGGUGAAAUCUCACAGCUCAACUGUGAAACUGCCUUUGAUACUGUUAGCCUUGAAUGAUAUGGAAGUAGAUAGAAUGUGUAGUGUAGCGGUGAAAUGCAUAGAUAUUACACAGAAUACCGAUUGCGAAGGCAGUCUACUACGUAUUUAUUGACGCUAAUGGACGAAAGCGUGGGGAGCGAACAGG
rnacentral:rRNA from 1 species